AAAAAAUUGCAAUGGCUACACAGGGGUAGCGUCGGCACUGAUUUGCCGUCGCCAAUGGUUCAAUAUUUGCUUCGGCGAAAUAUGCGGUGGCCAAAAUUACUUCGGCAAAACAUGCCGUCGCCAAUAGUCCAGUAUUCGCUUAGGUAAAACGUACCGUCGCCCAAAAUUGAUUCAGCAAUAUAAGGUCGUCGCAGUAAUUGCGACUGCCAGUGGUUUCCGUCGCCAUGUCCUCCUUUACUUUGCAUUAAGCACCAGCCCUAGAGAUCAUAUUUGACAAGAAAAAAAAAAAUAGACAUCGUCAAGUCCUCUCUUUCUCUUCUCGCCACCACCAGGAUCUCUCUCACUGUCGCUGCCGUCGUCACUUUGUGGUCAAUUUGAGAUCUGAAUAUUUUUCUAUUCAGUGGUAUUUCAGAGGUCCUGAGCUUCAUGUUGAUUUACAAGAUUAUGACUAUUCUUUGGACGUACUUGUGGAGUAUUUGUUGUAUGUUUGCUGGAAUGUCUGAGCAACUAGUUGCGACUUCACUUGCUCACUUGGUUGAGUCUGCAUCAUUUACUGGAUCUGGAAACCCAACUACAAAGUUUCAACAGGCAAAGAAUCAUGAACCCUUAA